AGUUCAAGUCAAACCCGUCAAAUCUCCACGAAGACGUAAAUACGGGAUAUGUAAUCCAUCCUCGAAGCGAUGUGUUCAACACAACAUGAAGGCCCACACGAAGACGAAGCAAAUCCCAGAGCUACCCAUGAGUGGCCCGAUGCGCGCCAUCCACUCGCUCGCCGCGGCGCCGGCGGCGCCGGCGCCGGCGACGGAGACGGCGACGCGACCACUCCGGCGAAGGACCAGCGCCGCCCGCGCCUCGCGGGAGUCCUCGCGGCAGCCGCAAGCGCUUCCGGACCUCCCCUCUCGCCGGGCGGCGCUACUAGCGCUCGUCCUGGCCGGCUCGACGCCCCGCCCGCCCACCGCCGCCGCCGCCUUCUCCCUCGGCAUCCCUGGGCCGAAGGAGUUGCUGCGGGAGCAGAAGAAGAAGUCGGCGCGCUUCCUACUCGCGCCCAUCGCCGCCUCCCGCGAAAUCCUCCUCAAGGCCCAGAGCCUUCUCGCUUCGGCGAAUGUGGGUGCUGACGACGUCGAGGAGGUGGGGCGGAUGCUCGCCGCGGCGGGGCGAGACUGUGUGCCGCGGCAGAGGAACUCACUCGUCUCGCUGCAGUCGCGGAGCGGCGUUGAGGUCUGCACAUUCAGCUUGAUACUGAAGAAUGCCGCGUCGCUGCUCACGGAUAAGGACCCUCUCAAGGUUGAAGCUGAUGCUAGGCUUGCCGAGCUAAUACAGUCAUUCUCUGACCUGGGAACUGUGGUGGAUAACAGUAACAUUGAGCUCACUGCUGAUAGGGAGAAGAUGAAGGAUGGCUUGCUGAGCACCGUCUCUGCCAUCGAUAAAUUUGAACAGAGUGUUAAAGACUGUUUAGGUAUCUAGAAUUUUCUAGAAGCACCUUUGAGGAUUAAAUUAUUCCAGAGUAACCUAAAUCUACCCACGAGGUAAGGUUAAGCUCCUCUGUUCAUCAGAGCAUGUUGUUCUCCGACUAGCAUAUUUGAUUUGACAUAUCCUCUUUACAGUAAAAAUGGUCAUUCCAUAGCAUGGAAAAUGAAAUAUCAGAAGUAAUUAGGGAGGUUUGUUUAUAGAAGGUUAUCUUUUUCUUUCUUUAGUUCAAUCAUUCCCUUCAAUAUCUUCUGUCUGUUGUGCACUUGUGCUCCACUAAUUACCGGCCAGCAUAGCAUCACUAAAAUCGUUAUCCAUUUACUUCUUAAACUUUUAGUUUCUUAGGAUUAUCUUGUUCUUGAUACUCAUUAAACUAACGGAAAUAAAAUUUAAUGGGAUAUUUACUUCCUCUUUUUUUAGUCCAACAUAAGCUUGAUUAUACUAAUUGAUUCUUACUAAAUAAACUGCGACUAUUUGGAAGCUAUUAUGCAGUAAUGGAUAAUAGGGAAAAACCUUGGUAAUACAAUUUUUACCUUGAACUGAAUGGGAACUAUACAAAUACAAGUCACAUACUAACAUCAGGUUUGAAAUUUUGAAUGGUAAUGAAUUCUGCAAGCAAUCAGGGAAAGAUGGGGGGGAAGCCAUAAUCAUUUUCAAAUGACUAUUCAAUGGACCUAAAUGUCCUCUUUAGCGGUCAGCCUUCCACCAAAUACAAUCUGCUUCAUGGUGUGCCAUCCUCUGGGUUUGUCUCCACUGAUCUUGGCAAUCUCAGUUUAUCAAACAGGUUCUGUGGGUGACAUAGCAGCCCAGCGUGCGUGCUUGUAGAUCUCCAAUUUGUGACCGAGUUACCUGAGAGAACUCAAUAGAAGGCAGCAGGAGAUCAGGCCUGUCAUGGUAGAAAUGGUUUAACGCACCAGCAGUUGAUGAAGAUGAUGCUGAAACCGUAUGUGUGUAAUACUAAUCGUGGAGAUACAAUCCAACAGUUUCAUGAUGUACAUCCUGCCAACAGAUGAUAAUGCGAUGAAGGGAUCUAACAGUAAAUGCCAAUAUGAAAAGCAAAUAUAAAUAUCAGGGCAUUAGAGUCCAUUCCCUAUUUGAAGCUGACGUGCUCUGUGGAGUCCAGAAACAAUAUUAUGAAAGAGUGACAUUGUUGGAUAGCUUUGUUCUUGCUGUUAUGUUGCUGGGUGUCUCCAUUUCGACUUUUCAAGCCCCAAUUAUUUCCCUUUUCUUUCUUUUAGUCUAUAUGCACCUAUGCAAGGUUAUACUCUAAACAUAGAUAAUGUAUCUCGCAUUCUUAGCCCUACUAAUCUUCCGUAACGAGACCAUAGUUUUCUCUUCUUUUUUUCUCA